UUGGGUUUGAUACGUUGUUUGACUUUCGUCCCUGUUUACUUCGACUUAAUACGCAGGCAAUUCAUGGUGGUUCCCACAUUUACGUCAAAACACGUUGGUGGUACUGAAGAUAAUUUUUGCCUCGUAAUUAUUCCGAUUUAUACGUCUUUCUCAACUCUGAAACAUUUCGUAAAUUCUGCGGUAUAAUAUACGAAGCAGUGAAGUGAUGACGAAGUUUCGAAAGAACCAAACGAUAUUUACGUGAGGAAUAAACUUGUCAGUAUCGUUCGAUGGUAAGACGGUAGAUACGCUGCGUGAUGCACGCCUACAGUAACGAUCAAACAAUUCCCUAGUAAUCAUUGAAGUCCAAUGAUCGCUCGACUAUCUGAAAAAGCAAAAGGAACGGAUAACCGGUUAGAUCGAUUAACGUCUAGUGUCACGGUCAACUCGAAUCUGAAAUAGAACGAGGGUAACUAGAUGCAGCAGCAACAGCGCCUUGUCGUUCGGUCUUUGCUCUGUGACAUUAGAGCAAGCGGCAGCUGCUGCAGGAAUUUCCGAGACAAGAGACGCGCACUUGUCCGUCCGAUUUCUUCCCCUUGAGAAGAAGAGCCCUUGGCUCUUUCUUGGCACAAGUUUAGCAGACACCACGAACGGUAGAACGAUCCUCGUUCGUUUGUUUGUUUGUUGUAGCUACAAUUUGGCUGACUCGAUUCUCGGGAAAUCCGUUCCACCGCAACAGAAGUCAAUGAUACGAUGACUGCUCUUUGAAAUCUGUUGAAACCGGGGCAAAUGAACGAAUUGGAAUAAAAAAGACGAGAGAUCAACGAUCCAACGAAACGCUAUCCAAAAAGUUGCUAGGGAACGAUGCCAAGGAACAUUGUUGCAUAAUGCCAACGUCGUUUUCUUCUUCUCCUUCUUCUUCGCAGCUGUGGAGCACGGCGUGUGUGCAGGUACCUAUAUUAACCCGGGUUGUGGAUGAGAUGAGGCUGUAGGAUAUAAGUUAGAAAGCUCCCGUGCAAAGCAACUGGCCAGCUUGCGGAGAAGCUGGUUCACCGCGCUGUUCUGAACGUUUCAUUGAAUAUUACGCAGGCCGUAGAAGAUGGAUAGCGGUCGUAUAGUGACAAAUGUAAUCACCAUUUUGCUAGCAUCAAUUUUCAACCGCGAAAUGAAAGCUCUGCAAGCGCGCGUUUGAAAUAUGAUUCACGAGCGAACCCGUUUGCUGUGAAGAGAUCACCGGUACUUUGCGUCACGUCACAACUCUAUAAAUGCAAUGAGUGGUAAUAACAUGAAAUGUACAAUAAUACCUUGCACCUCUGCGUAACUGUUGUGUACAAGCUUGUGGGUUGAAUUACCAAGGAAAUUACCAGGGUGGGCACAGAUUUUUGUAAAAAUAAAAUUCCAUGACAUUUA
rnacentral:lncRNA from 1 species